rfam:Microscilla marina ATCC 23134 1099589004080, whole genome shotgun sequence.
CUUUCAGAGCUACUUCCACUAAAACAAGGAUUGAAAC